rnacentral:misc_RNA from 1 species
GGAGUUUGGAAAAAUGGAAGCGUUGGGAUUGUCUUAAGUUGUGCUGUGGUGUUGUUUACUAUUUUGUUGUAGGAUGGUAAAAAUGGACGUGUAAACACAAUCAUUGUGAAUACACGUGAAAUUAUAACAAUUUAGAAACAUUAUGUUGCUUGCGGAACUUUGAAUAAAUAUAAUUACUGUAAUAUGUCAGGAUACAGGAGAGUUAAUUACUAUGAACUUUGCCGCCUAUGUACAGCUAGUGAAGGUACAAAAAUGCAUAUUUUUAGGGAAGAAGGAAGAAGGAGGCAACUUCCAUCAAAAAUCCAACUGUGCCUACCUCUUCAGGUUUGUGAAGACGAUUCACUUCCAAAAAUAAUUUGUAACCAGUGUGUUGAUAAGCUGGAAAGUUUCUGUGACUUCCGUGCCUCAUGUGUUAAUGCAGAGGCAAUGCUAGAAAGUUAUUUUACGUCCUUACGAUAUUCCGAAGACUUCAUCCGGGAGGGAAAGGUUCGUUCCUUUGUCUAUGUUAAAGAUGACAGCCCACCAAAAAAGAAGACCUCUCCGGAACUAGAGAAACCAAGUAUUAAAGUGCCACAUGUCCAAGCAGUGCCAGUAGCUUCUAUACCGGUUAGUGUAGAUGGGCUUAACAACCUGGUACAGGCAACCUCAAUCCAGAUAGUGAGCCAACCUGAGCAAGAAGAGAUCAGCAGGCUGCCUCAUUAUAGAGGACCUCUUGAGAUGCAGCCAACAACCGUGGCUCAGGCUGUGGUGGAUACUCCGGCUGUGAGAUACUCCUACCAGACUUGCACCAGUAUGGCAGCCACUAACACCACAACAAACAUAACCCUCCUCAAGACUGAAGACAGCACUCAAACUGACUAUCAGAAGGAUUUACACAAACCCGAAGUUAACCACCAAACAAUGGACCAAGGAACAACAACUUACUAUGUUCGAGUUCCGAAUAAUGUUGAGCAUGAAAGUUCACCUGGACAGAAUGAAGAAACAGAGGCUGUAGAAGGAGAAACACUGCAUCAAGCCAUUACAUUUGCACCUAGUCAUGGCCAAGAUAUGUUAGUUCAUUUUGGUUUCAAUAAGGACAACAAGGACCAAAACAAUACAACUACGAUACUAAGGACAGAUGACCGAGCAUCAAUAGCACAGAUAGGGGAGUUUCUUAGGAUGAAAACCGUGGUAGUAGAAGAGGAACCGAACCCUACGAAUGAGCAAGAACAUCCGUGUUGUGAUCAGUGUGGCAAGGAACUGAACACUCCUGACCUGCAAGCGAACCAUGAGAUGUUGUGUCCUGGCCCCUCUGAUGAUAAGAAUGGUGGGACUUUUUCAUGUGAAGUGUGUGGAAAACCUUUUAAAAGAAAAGAACAUCUAUUCCAACAUCGUAAAUUACACACAGGAGAGAGGCCGUAUGCUUGUGGAACUUGUGGCAAAGCGUUUAGUCGCAAGGAACAUCUAGUUAGGCAUGCUGUCUCUCAUACGGGGCAGAAGUCCCACACCUGUGAUAUGUGUAGUAAGUCAUUCUCUCGCAAGGACAACCUACACAAGCACCGGAAAACCCAUGGUAUCGCAGGACCAUAUGUAUGCGAGACCUGUGGCAAGUCUUUUGUAGUAAAGCAUUACUAUCUGAUGCACAAGACCAGCCAUAGUUCUCCUGAUAGCCCUGAUGAUCCCUUGCCAUACCGCUGUGAUAUUUGUUACAAAGGUUUCUCGGUGAAGCAGUACCUGACGACACAUAAACUGCGCCAUAGGAGCAAGAAUGUAAUGCCAGUGGACAGCUCGAGUGGUGAACACCCAGAUCAGGACAUGGAGCAGGAUCCUCUAUCUACUGUGAACCCAGCUGCUAUCCUGCCACACCACCCCAACAACCCCCCACUCUUCCAGGUGUAUAAAACUCCAUACAUGCCUGAAACAUGCCACAAUGGACUGCCACUUGAUAAAAAAAAAAAGUUUGAAGUCCAGACUGGAGAAGCAUUGUUACUGACAGAAGUCAGGAGUACAAACAACAUAUCACAUCUGCACCUGUGAAAGUGGAACAGUGGAUAAAAUCAAGAAUCAAGAAGCUUUAUUGUCGUUAAAUACACACAGUGUUCAUGAUUAAGAGGACCAGAUUUUGUGCAAAAUUGUGAGUGAUUCUUAUUUCAUGUUUAGUACUUUUGGAGAUUGCUGUUUUGCCCAAAGGGAUUUUCGAAAUAAGAAUAAGCUAUGUUCAUCCUAGGGAGCUAAGAAUGUUGAUGUAAAAUUUCUGUCCAAUUGGUUUAGUAGUUUAAGCGUGAAAGCAAAACAAACAAUUAAAGGAUCUCUCACAUUUAUAAUAUUACUAGCAGUUACUAGCUUUGUAUGCAAUUUUGUAGGUGUUGCACCUGUAUUAGUACUUCUGGUUUGAGUGAAUUGUAUUUCUGAUGCCAUUGUUGAGUUUGCCUUUUUGCCACAGUAAAAAAAAAAUAUAUUUAAAACUUUAAAUAUAUUAUGGACUCUGUAAUUGAAUCUGGUCUUAAUAUUUUUUCUAUAUAUGAUUUUUACUUUUUCCGAUCAAGAAAAUGGCUGAGAAAAUAAACAUGUGACGAGAAAUUCUUGUAUAUAUAUAAUCUGAAUCUCGGAAUGGCUCCAACGAUUUUCAUGAAAUUUAGUAUGCAGGGGUUUCUGGGGCAAUAAAUUGAUCUAGCUUGGUUUCAUUUUUAGAAAAUAUUGUUUUAUCUGUGUUUUCAAGCAAUGUAAACAAUUGCUACAAAGUCAAUAUUUAUUUCUUUGUUUACAUUCUGUGUAAGAAUUCGAGGUCGGGACAUUCACUACUUCGAUACAAGGUAUAGUGAAAAUCUCAGACCUGCUCAGCAUAGAUUGAGAUGAUAUGAGCAACUUCCUUCUCAAGCCGGCAUAAAGUUUCUAAAUGGGCUCAUUGAGGAAAUAAAAUCAAUAAAUGAUGUAAAUAGGUUCAAAAGUGCAUUGUGAUACUUUUUAGUGUCCCAUUAAUUUUAUAAAGUUGGUGAAUUCAUAGACCAUCUCACUAGCUUCAAUGUGCGAUAGUACAGGGAUGUUGACAUCCAAAGUUAAUUUUUGUUAUAUAUUAAUUUUACUGCUUGACAACUUUUAUUGUUAAUUAACUACGAUAUGUUAAAAAUUGAAUCGUUAGCAUAAAACAUUGUAUUAUUUUAAUGAAUAUAAAAUUAUUAUGUGGCACAUGCUGUGCAAUGUUAAAAUUGUUUAUGGCAAUAAAGGUAUAUUGUAUUGUAUAGCUACUGAAAAUGAUGAGCAACAAGAGUGACAUAUGCAAGGUUUGUGCAUCCAUUGCAUUUCCCUGAGGAACGGGUUUCUAAUCGCAUAAAUAGAAAUUCUUUUGGUGACUGUUGUUUGCAUGAACGAAUUUUAAUGGAGCAAACAAAAUUUUCAAAUGAAUUAGUACACGUCUUUUUUAAACCGUUAUCUAUAUUCGAAAGAGUUUCAUAAACAAAUAAGAAACAUAAAUACAUCUGUUGCUCUAGCAUCCUUUAAUGCAGAAGAUGACAGAACAAUAAAUAGCCAUGGCAUUUAUAGUUAAAUCGUUUGUGGACAACUAUAUCAUAAAAUGAAUCACAAAACACAAUUUACCAGAAAAAAGAUCUGAUAUUAAGUUUUUAAAUGUAUAGUAAAAGUUAGACUACUUUGUUUUUUAUAUCUGCACUGCUAGCAGUUACUCGCUGAUUUACAUGAUAUUUAGUAGUCAUAGCACGCAUAUGACCACUGCUGGUUCUGAGUGAAUUAUAUUCCCAUCAUCAAUUUUGAGUUUGCCUUUUGGCACAAUAUAGAAAAUACACCAAAAAGUGUAUAUUUAUGGCCAUUGUAAUUUACUUAGUAUAGCUCUUAGUAUUUUUUCCAUAGUUGAUUUUGCCUUGUUUCCCCAUCAAGAAAUAUA